GGAGGGGUGGCAGAGUGGACGAUUGCGGCAGUCUUGAAAACUGCUGACCUGCAAGGGUCCGUGGGUUCGAAUCCCACCCCCUCCGCCA
rnacentral:tRNA from 2 species